ACGCUGGCGGCGUGCUUAACACAUGCAAGUCGAACGCUGAAGCCCAGCUUGCUGGGUGGAUGAGUGGCGAACGGGUGAGUAACACGUGAGUAACCUGCCCCCUUCUUUGGGAUAACGCCCGGAAACGGGUGCUAAUACUGGAUAUUCACUGAUCUUCGCAUGGGGGUUGGUGGAAAGGUUUUUUCUGGUGGGGGAUGGGCUCGCGGCCUAUCAGCUUGUUGGUGGGGUGAUGGCCUACCAAGGCUUUGACGGGUAGCCGGCCUGAGAGGGUGACCGGUCACAUUGGGACUGAGAUACGGCCCAGACUCCUACGGGAGGCAGCAGUGGGGAAUAUUGCACAAUGGGCGAAAGCCUGAUGCAGCGACGCCGCGUGAGGGAUGACGGCCUUCGGGUUGUAAACCUCUUUCGCUCAUGGUCAAGCCGCAGCUUUGGGUUGUGGUGAGGGUAGUGGGUAAAGAAGCGCCGGCUAACUACGUGCCAGCAGCCGCGGUAAUACGUAGGGCGCGAGCGUUGUCCGGAAUUAUUGGGCGUAAAGGGCUUGUAGGCGGUUGGUCGCGUCUGCCGUGAAAUCCUCUGGCUUAACUGGGGGCGUGCGGUGGGUACGGGCUGACUUGAGUGCGGUAGGGGAGACUGGAACUCCUGGUGUAGCGGUGGAAUGCGCAGAUAUCAGGAAGAACACCGGUGGCGAAGGCGGGUCUCUGGGCCGUUACUGACGCUGAGGAGCGAAAGCGUGGGGAGCGAACAGGAUUAGAUACCCUGGUAGUCCACGCUGUAAACGUUGGGCACUAGGUGUGGGGGCCACCCGUGGUUUCUGCGCCGUAGCUAACGCUUUAAGUGCCCCGCCUGGGGAGUACGGCCGCAAGGCUAAAACUCAAAGGAAUUGACGGGGGCCCGCACAAGCGGCGGAGCAUGCGGAUUAAUU
rnacentral:rRNA from 1 species